rnacentral:rRNA from 1 species
GACGAACGCUGGCGGCGUGCCUAAUACAUGCAAGUAGAACGCUGAAGGAGGAGCUUGCUUCUCUGGAUGAGUUGCGAACGGGUGAGUAACGCGUAGGUAACCUGCCUGGUAGCGGGGGAUAACUCUUGGAAACGAUAGCUAAUACCGCAUAAUAGUAGAUGUUGCAUGACAUUUGCUUAAAAGGUGCACUUGCAUCACUACCAGAUGGACCUGCGUUGUAUUAGCUAGUUGGUGGGGUAACGGCUCACCAAGGCGACGAUACAUAGCCGACCUGAGAGGGUGAUCGGCCACACUGGGACUGAGACACGGCCCAGACUCCUACGGGAGGCAGCAGUAGGGAAUCUUCGGCAAUGGACGGAAGUCUGACCGAGCAACGCCGCGUGAGUGAAGAAGGUUGUCGGAUCGUAAAGCUCUGUUGUAAGAGAAGAACGAGUGUGAGAGUGGAAAGUUCACAAUGUGACGGUAUCUUACCAGAAAGGGACGGCUAACUACGUG